GAGCCGCUUCGCCCCGGGAUGCCCAGGACACAAGCAGCAGCAAGAGCAGUGGAGACAGCGCGGCUCGGAGCAUCUGCGGGAGGAAGUAUUGGCGGAGGAUGUUUACCAGUCCCCCAGCUCCUUUGAGCUUCGGUGCAGCAGUCCCUGGGGAGGAGCUGGCGCUCAUCGCCCGGAGAAGCACUCACCCGGGUCCAGUUCCCAGCCACAGAGCCUCGAUCGCUGCCCAUCGGUCCGGGAAUCUCCUUACCUCUGCUUCCUUGCGUCCUUGCUCUCCAGGAGGCGCCGGUGGAUUGGAAGUCAUGUGUAGUCCUAGUCACGUGAACGCCCACAUCACGUGAGAGCUUGCUCACGUCCACUUUUUUUUUUCCUUGUCUGCUGGCCUGAGGGUUGGGAGCGGUCAGUUACCUGGCCAAAGUACACAGCUCCUAGGGUUAUUAGCCAGGGUGCCAGAGAUCAGAUGAUCUUGGUAUUGACAAGGUUUCCCAGACUCCUGGGGACAUGUUACUGGUGAGAUGCCGAGAAAGCGGCGCUAGGACCCCCCAGGCGGUGCCGGGGUUAGGUAGGCAAGGGGGAAAUGCCUUACAUGGUCCCCCGGCGGUCACCAUCUGAACCCGCCGCCCAAAAUAGCCCUUGGCACGAGCGGGCUUGUCUCAUGGCGGGGAGAUGGCUGCUGCCUCCGAACCCGUAAGGUUGGGUGACCCACGGGGUCCUGCGCGCCCGGAGCCCCCUCCCACCCGCUUCCAUCAAGUUCACGGAGCCAACAUCCGCGUGGACCCGUCAGGAACGCGAGCCACACGCGUGGAGAGCUUUGCCCACGGUGUGUGCUUCAGUCGCGAGCCCCUAGCCCCGGGCCAGGUAUUCCUAGUGGAGAUAGAGGAAAAAGAGCUGGGCUGGUGCGGGCAUCUGCGUCUUGGCCUGACCGCUCUGGACCCGGCCAACCUGGCCGCUGUGCCCGAGUUUUCACUGCCUGACCUGGUCAGCCUUGGUCACAGCUGGGUCUUCGCUAUCACACGCCACCACAACCGCGUGCCCCGGGAGGGUCAAGCAUAUGCAGAGUCAGCGGCCGCCAGCCGCCCCCAAGCCCUCUUGGUUGAACCCUAUCUGCGCAUUGAGCAGUUCCGAAUACCCCGGGACCGCCUGGUGGGACGCAGCCGGCCAGGGCUCUAUAGCCAUCUCCUGGAUCAGCUCUAUGAACAAAACGUGCUGCCUCCUACAGCGCGCCGUAGCCGCCUGGGUGUUCUCUUCUGCCCGCGUGAGGAUGGGACUGCCGACAUGCACAUCGUCAUCAACGGGGAAGACAUGGGUCCCAGUGCUCGGGGGCUGCCAGCUGCCCAGCCCCUCUACGCUGUGGUAGAUGUGUUUGCCUCCACCAAGAGUGUGCGCCUGGUCCAACUGGAGUAUGGCUUGCCGUCCCUGCAAACUCUGUGCCGUCUGGUGAUCCAGAAGAGUGUGGUGCACAGGCUGGCCAUUGAUGGGCUCCACCUGCCCAAAGGACUGAAGGACUUCUGCAAGUAUGAAUGAAGGCCUGCGGCCACCGGAGCAGAGCCACAGAAGUGCCAUCCUGCCUCCAGAGCAGUGGCUGAUCCGAAACUAGCCACAUGGUUAAUGAUCAGGCUUCCCAGGUAGCUGUUUCCAGGCCUGUUCCAUCAGGCCUGACUAUGUUGUCUUCAGGAACAUAAAAAUAUUGAUACAUCGGUCUGUCCCUGGCAUUCUGUGGUUGAUGGAGUAGGACCCUAGUGGUAUUCAAAGUCUCCCAGAACCUGUGCUGGCCACCAGUGACCUGAACCAACCAUGUCAUUUUCCAGGGGAAAACAAGCCAACAGGUGAGAAUAUAUUUGUGUAAGGACAAAUAGCAAAUACUUCUUAUUUUAUUUAUUUGUUUAUUGAUUUUAGAGACAGGGUUUCUCUUUGUAGCCCUUGCUGUCCUGGAAAUUGCUCUGUAAACCAGGCUGGUCUCGAGCUCAGAGAUCCACUUGCCUCUGCCUCCUGAGUACUGGAAUUAAAAGUGUGAGCCACUAUGCCUGGCUCUAGCAAAUGAUUUUAAACAACAACAAGAAGAAGAGGGUCUGGCUGGAGAUAUGGCUCAGUGAUUAAGAACACUGACUGCUCUUCCGGAGGUCCUGAGUUCAAUUCCCAACACCCACAUGGUGGCUCACAACCAUCUAUAAUGGGAUCUGAUGCCCUCUUCUGUCAUGCAGACAUGCAGA